rnacentral:rRNA from 1 species
GUGAACGCUGGCGGUAGGCCUAACACAUGCAAGUCGAACGGCAGCACAGUAAGAGCUUGCUCUUACGGGUGGCGAGUGGCGGACGGGUGAGGAAUACAUCGGAAUCUACUUUUUCGUGGGGGAUAACGUAGGGAAACUUACGCUAAUACCGCAUACGACCUACGGGUGAAAGCAGGGGAUCUUCGGACCUUGCGCGAUUGAAUGAGCCGAUGUCGGAUUAGCUAGUUGGCGGGGUAAAGGCCCACCAAGGCGACGAUCCGUAGCUGGUCUGAGAGGAUGAUCAGCCACACUGGAACUGAGACACGGUCCAGACCCCUACGGGAGGCAGCAGUGGGGAAUAUUGGACCAUGGGCGCAAGCCUGAUCCAGCCAUACCGCGUGGGUGAAGAAGGCCUUCGGGUUGUAAAGCCCUUUUGUUGGGAAAGAAAAGCAGCAGGUUAAUACCCCGCUGUUCUGACGGUACCCAAAGAAUAAGCACCGGCUAACUUCGUG